rnacentral:misc_RNA from 1 species
AGUCGUAACAAGGUAUCCGUAGGUGAACCUGCGGAUGGAUCAUUAUAGGUUAUUUUGAAUGUUGUGUGAACAGUGUGAUUGCGGUUGUGGUGGGUGUGAUAUUAUAUGGUAUGUGGUAUAUUAUGUGAUAUGGUAUAUUAUAUGGUAUGUUAUAUAAUAUCAUAUACAAUACCAUAUAUCAUAUAUAAUAUAAUAUCAUCCACCUUGACAACAUUGACGUACAUUAGUGCUGAAUACAUUAUAUAUUGAAAUAUAAACAACUUUCAGCAAUGGAUCUCUUGGCUCUC